rnacentral:rRNA from 1 species
UGAAUGGGGAAACCCACGUGCAUAAGCACGUAUCCUUACCUGAAUACAUAGGGUAAGGAGGCGAACCGGGGGAACUGAAACAUCUAAGUACCCCGAGGAAAAGAAAUCAACCGAGAUUCCGAAAGUAGCGGCGAGCGAAAUUGGACUAGCCCUUAAGCUUUACACGCGUUAGACGAACGGUCUGGAAAGUCCGACGAUACAGGGUGAUAGUCCCGUAGUUGACGACGUGUGUUCAGUGAAAUCGAGUAGGGCGGGACACGUGAUAUCCUGUCUGAAUAUGGGGGGACCAUCCUCCAAGGCUAAAUACUACUGACUGACCGAUAGUGAACCAGUACCGUGAGGGAAAGGCGAAAAGAACCCCUGUGAGGGGAGUGAAAUAGAACCUGAAACCGUGUACGUACAAGCAGUAGGAGCAGGCUUUGUCCUGUGACUGCGUACCUUUUGUAUAAUGGGUCAGCGACUUAUAUUCAGUGGCAAGGUUAACCAUCUAGGGGAGCCGUAGGGAAACCGAGUCUUAACUGGGCGUUCAGUCUCUGGAUAUAGACCCGAAACCAGGUGAUCUAGCCAUGGGCAGGUUGAAGGUUGAGUAACAUCAACUGGAGGACCGAACCGACUAAUGUUGAAAAAUUAGCGGAUGACUUGUGGCUAGGGGUGAAAGGCCAAUCAAACCUGGAGAUAGCUGGUUCUCCCCGAAAGCUAUUUAGGUAGCGCCUCGGACGAAUACUACUGGGGGUAGAGCACUGUUAAGGCUAGGGGGUCAUCCCGACUUACCAACCCUUUGCAAACUCCGAAUACCAGUAAGUACUAUCCGGGAGACACACGGCGGGUGCUAACGUCCGUCGUGGAGAGGGAAACAACCCAGACCGCCAGCUAAGGUCCCAAAUUACUACUAAGUGGGAAACGAUGUGGGAAGGCUCAGACAGCCAGGAUGUUGGCUUAGAAGCAGCCAUCAUUUAAAGAAAGCGUAAUAGCUCACUGGUCGAGUCGGCCUGCGCGGAAGAUGUAACGGGGCUAAGUAGUAAACCGAAGCUGCGGCAAUAUACUUUUGUAUAUUGGGUAGGGGAGCGUUCUGUAAGCGGUUGAAGGUGUGUGGUAACGCAUGCUGGACGUAUCAGAAGUGCGAAUGCUGACAUGAGUAACGAUAAAGGGGGUGAAAAACCUCCUCGCCGGAAGACCAAGGGUUCCUGUCCAACGUUAAUCGGGGCAGGGUAAGUCGACCCCUAAGGCGAGGCCGAAAGGCGUAGUCGAUGGGAAACGGGUUAAUAUUCCCGUACUUCUUACAAUUGCGAUGGGGGGACGGAGAAGGCUAGGUGGGCCUGGCGACGGUUGUCCAGGUUCAAGUGCGUAGGCUUAAGAGUUAGGUAAAUCCGGCUCUUUUUAAGGCUGAGACACGACGUCGAGCACCUACGGGUGUGAAGUCAUUGAUGCCAUGCUUCCAGGAAAAGCCUCUAAGCUUCAGAUUGUAAGGAAUCGUACCCCAAACCGACACAGGUGGUCGGGUAGAGAAUACCAAGGCGCUUGAGAGAACUCGGGUGAAGGAACUAGGCAAAAUGGUACCGUAA